GACGUAGGGGGCCAGCGUUGUUCGGAAUUACUGGGUGUAAAGGGUUCGUAGGCGGUGCGGCAAGUUGGGAGUGAAAUCUCUGGGCUCAACCCAGAGGCUGCUUCCAAAACUGCUGUGCUUGAGUGUGAGAGAGGCUCGUGGAAUUGCAGGUGUAGCGGUGAAAUGCGUAGAUAUCUGCAGGAACACCCGUGGCGAAAGCGGCGAGCUGGAUCACUGACUGACGCUGAGGAACGAAAGCUAGGGGGAGCAAACAGG
rnacentral:rRNA from 1 species